rnacentral:tRNA from 1 species
GGGGAUGUGGCUCAGGUUGUAGAGCGCUUGCCUACAAUACAGGGAGCCCUGGGUUCAAUCCCCAACACUGCCU